rnacentral:rRNA from 1 species
AUUGAACGCUGGCGGCAGGCCUAACACAUGCAAGUCGGACGGUAGCACAGAGGAGCUUGCUCCUCGGGUGACGAGUGGCGGACGGGUGAGUAAUGUCUGGGGAUCUGCCCGAUAGAGGGGGAUAACCACUGGAAACGGUGGCUAAUACCGCAUAACGUCGCAAGACCAAAGAGGGGGACCUUCGGGCCUCUCACUAUCGGAUGAACCCAGAUGGGAUUAGCUAGUAGGCGGGGUAAUGGCCCACCUAGGCGACGAUCCCUAGCUGGUCUGAGAGGAUGACCAGCCACACUGGAACUGAGACACGGUCCAGACUCCUACGGGAGGCAGCAGUGGGGAAUAUUGCACAAUGGGCGCAAGCCUGAUGCAGCCAUGCCGUGUGUAUGAAGAAGGCCUUCGGGUUGUAAAGUACUUUCAGCGGGGAGGAAGGCGGUGAGGUUAAUAACCUCGCCGAUUGACGUUACCCGCAGAAGAAGCACCGGCUAACUCUGUGCCAGCCGCCGCCGUAA